AUAGGGGAAGGAGGGUUGUCUGCUGUCUGGUAGGAGGGCUUUGUCUGUGUGCGCCUUUCUCUCUCUCCCUCUCUCGCUCUCCCUGUCUCUCGCACUCUCGCUCGCUCUCGCUCGCUCUCUCUCGCUCGCUCUCCCUUUCCCGUCUCUGUGGUUUGUAAGGUAGGUUGCAGUGUGUGUAUAUACACAACAUCAAGAGCAGGAAAAUGGACUCAUUAGGGAGGCAGGCAGUCAUUACCACUCACACUGUACUUCCAGGGAGACAGCGACUAUGAGGAGACAAACUGAGGACUGGGGAACAAGCAGCAUAAGAAAGAAGUGUUGAGAGCUGCUCUUAACCCUUUUGGAGGCCAAAGUCAAAAGGGAACUAGAGGGCUUGACGCAUCCUUUACAUCCUGCAUUUACUCUGACCACAGUCCCUCCCUGUUCUCACGAGCGGAGCUCAGCCCUGCUUCCCUUCCUGUUGAUUCCCAGUCAGCUACAUGACUGCCUGAAGUUACAUUGUAGAUGCUGAAAUCACUGCACCUUAAAAACAAAAAGAUUAAGCCACACUGCAUUCCUAAUGCUGGAAUUUUUGGACUGUGCAUCUGUUUAGGCACGUGGAGAAAGACAAGACUGAGAUCAUCAGUGGUUGGCAGUUUUCCUCAACUUUGCGAGAGAGAGAGAGAGAUUGUGUUGGAAUGAAACCUUGCUCUGCGUACAGCCUGCUUGAGAUGCAGCAUUGAAAGAAAAAUUUGUUGUCAGUGUUGAAAAUAGAAAAAACAUGGAAAUUAAAAAGGGGAAACAUUGCUGUAAUUCAGCUGUGGCUAGCAAAAACCUUUUGAAGUGGCACUAGCAGAGAGGUAGGGCUCCUUGCUUUGACUGUUUUGUCCUUAAAAUAGCUUUUUGUAGAAAAGAGUCAAAUAAAAACUCGUGUGCAAGUCAACAGUUUUCCAUUUACUGUAAAAUGAAAACAUUCACCCUCAAGA